CCUACGGGGGGCUGCAGUGGGGAAUAUUGGACAAUGGGGGGAACCCUGAUCCAGCCAUGCCGCGUGUGUGAAGAAGGCCCUCGGGUUGUAAAGCACUUUCAGUGAGGAAGAACGCCUGGUGGUUAAUACCCAUCAGGAAAGACAUCACUCACAGAAGAAGCACCGGCUAACUCCGUGCCAGCAGCCGCGGUAAUACGGAGGGUGCGAGCGUUAAUCGGAAUUACUGGGAGUAAAGCGCGCGUAGGUGGCUUGAUAAGCCGGUUGUGAAAGCCCCGGGCUCAACCUGGGAACGGCAUCCGGAACUGUCAAGCUAGAGUGCAGGAGAGGAAGGUAGAAUUCCCGGUGUAGCGGUGAAAUGCGUAGAGAUCGGGAGGAAUACCAGUGGCGAAGGCGGCCUUCUGGACUGACACUGACACUGAGGUGCGAAAGCGUGGGUAGCAAACAGGAUUAGAUACCCCUGUAGUC
rnacentral:rRNA from 1 species